AUUGAACGCUGGCGGCAUGCUUUACACAUGCAAGUCGAACGGCAGCACGGACUUCGGUCUGGUGGCGAGUGGCGAACGGGUGAGUAUACAUCGGAACGUACCCAGUAAUGGGGGAUAACUAUCCGAAAGGAUAGCUAAUACCGCAUACGCCCUACGGGGGAAAGAGGGGGAUCGCAAGACCUCUUGUUAUUGGAGCGGCCGAUGGCUGAUUAGCUAGUUGGUGAGGUAAAGGCUCACCAAGGCGACGAUCAGUAGCGGGUCUUAGAGGACGAUCCCACACACUGGAACUGAGACACGGUCCAGACUCCUACGGGAGGCAGCAGUGGGGAAUCUUGGACAAUGGGCGCAAGCCUGAUCCAGCAAUGCCGCGUGCGUGAAGAAGGCCUUCGGGUUGUAAAGCGCUUUUGUCAGGGAGCAAAUCCUUGUGGCUAAUACCCACCGGGGAUGAGAGUACCUGAAGAAUAAGGACCGGCUAACUACGUGCCAGCCGCCGCGGUAAGAC
rnacentral:rRNA from 1 species